GGGCCUGUAAUGGUUUCGACAGGGGCCAUGAAGCUGGAGAAGCGAGCCGCACGGGAUGCGUCAAAUUCCAAACUUAAAAUUAAACGCUGAAGACAAUUUAGCGGUUGCAGCCUAACUGCAACUUGCUGCCACAAGGCAGCAGUCGGCCUUAGUGCACCUACACAUUAAGAUACCGGCUUCGACUAUGUAGGAAACGACGACGGCAAAGCUUUGAGCCGCCGGGCGUAUGAUGAAGCUACUGAAACCGGAACUGUGCCUGUGCAGGUCCGGCAGAGGGAAUGAAAAAUCACAGGCUACGCUCGUAGAAGGACAGGGGAUUGGUUUUUGGACACGGGUUCGACUCCCGUCAGGUCCAUC
rnacentral:tmRNA from 1 species